ACUAGGUUUAUAUGUAAAAAAAACACGGAGAAUCUCAACGCCGAGCUCCCCCCUUUGUCGACGACGUGAGGGGACUAAUUACACUUCUGCGUUUUCAUCUUAGGCUUUAUACCAAUAAAAGGGGUUAGUUUUUAUCACUGCGAUGGUAGAUAAAGCUCAAGUCAUCAGCCUCUGUCGCUCCCUGCUUCGAGCGGGGCGUCAGUACCCUGACUACAACAUCAGGGAGUACGCUAAGCGAAGGACCUUGGAUGGGUUCCGCAUGAACAAGAGUCUCGCCGACCCGUCCAAGGUGGAGGAGGCUUAUGCUGAAGGUAAGAAGCAGCUGGAGGUUGUGGAGAGGGUGGUCAAGGUUUACUUGGCGUAUCCUCCCAAGACCAAGAACAUCAUGGAACUCAAGCUUCAGUAGUGGAUAUGUAUGUUUGGGCUUUUUUCAAUACCCUUAAAAAGCUAUUUGUUAUUGUUAUUGGUCAUGUUUCUUAGUUCUUUUCCAACUAUGAGACAUUGCUUUGUGUGAUUCUCGUGUAAUAUUUGUGUCUUGAUGGCUUCAGACCUUUAUUGAGUGAAGAGAGGAUCAGAGAAUAAUCUUGUAUUAGAGCUGAGAUAAAGAGUCAUUUUUGCUGAUUGUUCUUAAUAAUAAAAUCUCACACGAUUCUGCA